CAGCAGCCGCGGUAAUACGAGGGGGGCAAGCGUUGUUCGGAAUUAUUGGGCGUAAGGGGCGCGUAGGCGGUUUGGCAAGUUUGGUGUGAAAUCUUCGGGCUCAACUCGAAGUCUGCAUCGAAAACUGCCGGGCUUGAGUAUGGGAGAGGUGAGUGGAAUUUCCGGUGUAGCGGUGAAAUGCGUAGAUAUCGGAAGGAACACCUGUGGCGAAAGCGGCUCACUGGACCAUUACUGACGCUGAGGCGCGAAAGCUAGGGGAGCAAACAGGAUUAGAUACCCCAGUAGUCCCUGUCUCUUAUAA
rnacentral:rRNA from 1 species